rnacentral:lncRNA from 1 species
AAAUCCCUCCCUAUUUUUUUCUUUUUGCCUCUGCCUGAGCUCUGAAGUUCCUCUGGGCCUUCCCCCUCUCAAUAAUAAAACAUGACUGAUAACAAGAAACGGCAGCCUUCCAAGUGGCUCUCUUUGUAGAAAAUCCCCAAACACAUUCAAUUCAAAUUUAAACAGCCACAUUUGAAACAAAGAGAGAGAUGUAGCAAAUGGCCCCCCAUUCUAUUUUCUAAUUGUCUCCAGAGACAGACCAUGUCUAUUUGAAUCUUUUUCAGCCCAGUCACAUCAAUGCACUGACGGAGCCUGUCCUUUUCCAUCAGCCUUGGAGUUUUUCUUCUUGGGCGUAGUAUAAGGGAGAAGACAGCUUGUUGGCUAGUGGAGGAGAGUGGAUGUGAGCUGUUGUUUAUCUCUGCCUUCUGUUACCAGGGCCUCCGUGGAGAAAGGCAAUGUUUCAGAGUCCUCUUCUAUAAACUCUGCCUUUCUCAGUUGUGCCGUCCUCUAGAGGACACCUUCUUUGUUUUCAUGCCCCAUCAAGACUUGGAGGAGGUCUCCCAGAUGCUACUUACAUGGGGUGAGAGAAAGAUGGCCCUCUCGACCUGUGUUGUCCAGUACGGUGGCCAUGAGCCACAGGCGGCUUCUGAGCACUUGAAACGUAACUAGUGGGACUGAGGAAAUGAAUUCUCAGUUUUAAUUAAUUUGAAUAUACUUAAAAACCGAUGGUAGAUUCAGUUAUUGGAAAAUAUUCAAGAACAUUUGUAACAACUUGGGUAUAUGAAUCUACUUUUUAGUCUGCAAAUUUUAUGAAAUCUAAGUAGAGAUCACAUAUUUCUGGUAAAACUUCAGCACUGAAAUUGAGAUGUUGUGUAGUCACAAAAUGUGCACAGGAUUCCAAAG